CGCCUCCCUCCGCCGCCACUCACGACUACCGUACGGGACGGCGAGCGAGGUGGGAAGUCGUUGCACAAGUACGGGGAAACCCGUACGGACUGCAGCGACGCCGCGNGAGCGAUGAAGCCGUCGGGUGUAAGCUCUUCGGCAGGGAAGAGUUAUGACGGUACCUGCAGAAGCAGCUGCGGCUAACUACGUGCCAGCAGCCGCGGUAAUAC
rnacentral:rRNA from 1 species